UACGUAGGGGCCUAGCGUUGUCCGGAUUUAUUGGGCGUAAAGAGCUCGUAGGCGGCUUGUCGCGUCGAAUGUGAAAUCUCGGGGCUCAACUCCGAGCUUGCAUUCGAUACGGGCAGGCUAGAGUUCGGUAGGGGAGACUGGAAUUCCUGGUGUAGCGGUGGAAUGCGUAGAGAUCGGGAAGAACAUCAGUGGCGAAGGCGGCCUGCUGGGCUGUUGCUGACGCUGAGGCGCGACAGCGUGGGGAGCAAACAGG
rnacentral:rRNA from 1 species